rnacentral:tRNA from 1 species
GACUGUGGCUCAGUGGUAGAGCAUCCGCUUGGAAUGCAGAAGGUCCCAGGUUCAAUCCAACUAAAAGAAUCA